GGAGUUAGCCGGUGCUUCUUCUGUGAGUGAUGUCCUUCCUGCCGGCUAUUAACCCGCAGGCCUUCUUCCUCACUGAAAGUGCUUUACAACCCGAAGGCCUUCUUCACACACGCGGCAUGGCUGGAUCAGGGUUGCCCCCAUUGUCCAAUAUUCCCCACUGCUGCCUCCCGUAGGAGUCUGGGCCGUGUCUCAGUCCCAGUGUGGCUGAUCAUCCUCUCAGACCAGCUACGGAUCGUCGCCUUGGUGAGCCGUUACCUCACCAACCAGCUAAUCCGACAUAGGCUCAUCCGAUAGCGCGAGGCCCGAAGGUCCCCCGCUUUCCCCCGGUAGGGCGUAUGCGGUAUUAGCCUGGGGUUUCCCCCAGGUUAUCCCCCACUACCGGGCAGAUUCCUAUGCAUUACUCACCCGUCCGCCGCUCGCCACCAGGGAGCAAGCUCCCCGUGCUGCCGCUCGACUUGCAUGUGUUAGGCCUGCCGCCAGCGUUCAAUCUGAGCCAUGAUACAAACUCUGA
rnacentral:rRNA from 1 species